GUCGUUCCUUGGAAUGAGAGGAUGCCUGGAAUGGCUGUAAACGUCAACGGAGGCUAUUUUAGUCAACGAAGACCACAUAUUAGAUAAAAUCAGAAAAAUAAGAUUCACCAACGGUGAAAUGCUGCUAAGAUUUACUGGAACGGAACAGGGCUUAAAUUUAACAAGAAUGGAUGAUGCCUUGGAGGUUUACGUUGAAGUGAAGGCUUUGCAGCAAGUGAAAAAAAAACCAUGAGGGAGAUGGGAAAAAAGCAGCAAAACUUGUACUGCCUUUAAUAGCCAAAAGUGAAUUACUAAAGUACUGCACGGUGGAUGGUAAACAAGGAGGACCGGUCAACACCGGAUACUGUUGCCUAGACGGGAGUGUUGUACCCUUUGCAGGACUCCCAGAAGAUGCUGUUGAUUCUAUAUUAAAAUUCAUACUUCCCAUGAAACCUGACACCAUGGAAGUGAAAAAAUGGAAUUCAGGCAUAAAGAAAAGUGUGAACAAGCUGAUUCUUAAUAGAACCUACAGAGGAAAAAGUUGAUGGUGUUUGUGUCACUGGCGAGUGGAUGAACAAUUCUCAAGUUUUUAGGACUGAAUAUAUUAAAUUAAAAUUAAUGUAUUAAAACGAUGGACCGAAUGAAUAUAUAUGAUAAAUUUUGAACACCUUUCAUCUUGUUAAGUUAUUAUAAAGUAUUUGUAUUUGUACGAAU